UGGGGAAUAUUGCACAAUGGGCGCAAGCCUGAUGCAGCCAUGCCGCGUGUGUGAAGAAGGCCUUCGGGUUGUAAAGCACUUUCAGCGAGGAGGAAGGUGGUGAGCUUAAUACGCUCAUCAAUUGACGUUACUCGCAGAAGAAGCACCGGCUAACUCCGUGCCAGCAGCCGCGGUAAUACGGAGGGUGCAAGCGUUAAUCGGAAUUACUGGGCGUAAAGCGCACGCAGGCGGUUUGUUAAGUCAGAUGUGAAAUCCCCGGGCUCAACCUGGGAACUGCAUUUGAAACUGGCAAGCUAGAGUCUCGUAGAGGGGGGUAGAAUUCCAGGUGUAGCGGUGAAAUGCGUAGAGAUCUGGAGGAAUACCGGUGGCGAAGGCGGCCCCCCUGGACGAAGACUGACGCUCAGGUGCGAAAGCGUGGGGCAGCAAACAGGAUUAGAUACCCUGGUAGUCCACGCUGUAAACGAUGUCGAUUUGGAGGUUGUGCCCUUGAGGCGUGGCUUCCGGAGCUAACGCGUUAAAUCGACCGCCUGGGGAGUACGGCCGCAAGGUUAAAACUCAAAGGAAUUGACGGGGUC
rnacentral:rRNA from 1 species